UUCUUUUUUUUAAAGAGCUGGUCCUUACACCAGGUCCUUCCAAGUGUUCUCCUCCAGAGGGCAGACCUGACUCUUACCGAGGCCCCUCCCCGCCUCCCCUCCUCCCAAGGACAGUAUUAGUACCUGCCCACACCUGGUACACCGGUAACCAAGCCUAGAGCCAGAGCAAAAGGAGAAACUUGAGGCAGCGGCCACAGAAGGGGACUAUACUCUCAUCCCAAGCCUAGCCUGAACCUCUCAUUGGAGCCUCAAGGAUUCCCAGGCUUGGAGUUGAGAACAUCAGGCUUCACCCUCAUCUUGUACCUGACAGUUCUAUUGAAGAGCACCUCUACUAAUGAGCAUCUAUCAUCCAUGCAACUUUUCCAGUGUCGACUAUCGAUGCAAUGUGGUUAGUCUGCAGGCCCCAGUGAUCAUCAUUCCAGUGCUACUGUCCUCCUCCACCCUGCUUGUGGUUGCCUGCAUCGUAUGGAAGACAUGCCGGAGGUGGAGGACUACUGGAGAGUGCCCCCCCUCCCAGUGACAGGUGCCUGAGAUGACAGCUUGGUGCUCCCUUGGGACCGCCUGCCUGCUUCUUGUCCAGCUUGGGCCUAUCACUACAUCAUGGCAGCAACAUGGGACCACAGCAGCAGCACUCCCCUCCACUGGGACUAACAGCCCAAAUGUGAACCAGCAAGUACAGAGACAAUCCUGAAGAAUCAGCUGCUGCCACCAUCAUUUUCUGCUUGGGGUAGGCAAGGCAAGACAUUGGAAACAGCAACAAAUAUUUAUUGAGCAAGGUAGUCCAUAGACACAUACACAUAUGUGUGCGUGUGUGUAUGUAUAUAUUAGGCUUUCAACAAAUGUUUGCUGAGUUAAUAAAGGAUGCUAAACCAGUCUUUUCUAUUACUAUCCAACACACAUACUUCUCUAUCCUUUCUGCAUUUUUUCCCCUAGAAUGAUGGGGGUCUUGAGUCAAGGACAUGUAUUUUACAGCUGAAAGAUGCUACAUACGUGCAUUAAUUUUCUUAGCAAAAAUUAAUUUAGUGCCAGUCAUGUAGGAGAGACAGUGUGAUUUAGCAUAAGGUGUACCCUGGUCUUGAAAUCUUAAUGUUUUCAAUUUCCUUUGAUCAUUUUUAUUCUGUGCUUCCUGGUUGAAAGAGUUGAGAAAGAUUCUAUGAGGGCACAUGGAAGUUCUGUCCUUUCCUUGUUCUUUUCUUGUCUCCAAUA